GACAGAGGGUGCAAACGUUGUUCGGAAUUACUGGGCGUAAAGCGCGUGUAGGCGGCCCGGAAAGUCGGAUGUGAAAGCCCUGGGCUUAACCCAGGAAGUGCAUUCGAAACUCCCGGGCUUGAGUUCUGGAGAGGAAGGCGGAAUUCUCGGUGUAGAGGUGAAAUUCGUAGAUAUCGAGAGGAACACCGGUGGCGAAGGCGGCCUUCUGGACAGUGACUGACGCUGGAGACGCGAAAGCGUGGGGAGCAAACAGG
rnacentral:rRNA from 1 species